UGGGAGCAGAGCUGGUGCUCUAGUGAGCGUGGUGCACACUGAGACCGAGCUCUGUGCUGUCAUGGAGAGAUCUUCCUGUGAGAGCCCACUGGAAGCAGCGCUGCGGCGUGUGUGAGAGCUGGGCACAGCUCCGGCUGAGCAGUGGCCAGGUGCAAAACUAUGGAGGAGAUGGAGAAGAACGCUUGCUGUCAGAACUCAUGGCAGCUGCACGGGAGCUGGGUGUAUUUGGGAGACAGUUCUCAUUAGUAGUUGGUUUGGAGUAUUGCCCUGCCCGAUAGCUUAAACUGCAUAGCAGAGGAAAGCUGGGAAAAUGCUUUUUCCUGUUUUUCACUUGCAGGUUCUUUCUUCAGGGUUGGUUUACAAAAGGAGGUGUUGGGGACUGAGGCAGUUGAAGAGUGAAGCCAGCUCUUUCCACCAGCGGGGGGUCAGUCCCUGUGGAGAGGACCCCAGGAACGUGAGCUUCCUCUGAGACGUUCCCCACAUGUCCCAGCAGGGACACAGACGCGGUUCCCAUUCCUGCUUUGCGCGUGGAAAGAAGCAGCGCCGUGCUGUUCCCCAUGCUAGGGAGCAGCAGCCAGCAGGCUGCCCCAGUGCCAGCUGGGCCUUGCAGCGCGCAGAGGGACGCGAUGGGGA